rnacentral:rRNA from 1 species
CCUACGGGUUGCAGCAGUGGGGAAUAUUGCACAAUGGGCGCAAGCCUGAUGCAGCCAUGCCGCGUGUAUGAAGAAGGCCCUAGGGUUGUAAAGUACUUUCAGUCGGGAGGAAGGCGUUGAUGCUAAUAUCAUCAACGAUUGACGUUACCGACAGAAGAAACACCGGCUAACUCCGUGCCAGCAGCCGCGGUAAUACGGAGGGUGCAAGCGUUAAUCGGAAUUACUGGGCGUAAAGCGCACGCAGGCGGUGGAUUAAGAUAGAUGUGAAAUCCCCGGGCUUAACCUGGGAAUGGCAGCUAAGACUGGUCAGCUAGAGUCUUGUAGAGGGGGGUAGAAUUCCAUGUGUAGCGGUGAAAUGCGUAGAGAUGUGGAGGAAUACCGGUGGCGAAGGCGGCCCCCUGGACAAUGACUGACGCUCAGGUGCGAAAGCGCGGGGAGCAAACAGGAUUAGAUACCCGGGUAGUC